AUGGAUCAUGGAGGAAAGGGUGAAGGAGGGGAAAGUGACAGGAAAGAUCAAGAAAAGAAGGGGAAAAGGGUCCUGGUGGCGAAUGCGGCUGCCUCCCCUGCAGAGAGGCUGAGCCUGGAGGGAGCAAGAAGCUCAGCUGCACCGGGCACCUGCAGGAGAAGGACUCAUCGCUCCGUGCUGGUACCGUUGUCGGCAGUGCUCUCGCCGACUGCAAGACUGGUGGAAGCAUCAAAGGGGUGCCCUUGGAAUGUGUGCCUAAUGAUGAUCAAUGAAAAUAGAAGCCCUGUUGCAGCGAGACUCAUGAGGUCCUGCUCACAGCUGGCACACGGAGGCAUGGCUGUAAAAAGAAGAUGCUGGGCAUUAGGACUGAUAGUCCCACCAGAUUCCUCCUCACCUUGGAAAACCCUUGUCUCCUCCCAGCAGGGGAGAUGGGCCGCCUGUCCUGGUGUGGAUAGUGGUGUGCCAGCCAGAUGCUCUGCGAGCAGUAUUAUUAAAACUGCUCCAUCACUGGCUGUAAUGGGAGCGUCUGUAUUUUCUCCCUCGCCCGUAUCCCUGACAUGACAUAAUGCCUGCCCUCACCAAGACGCUAUAACACCGAGGUCCAAGGCUUUGAGGGGAAGCUUGCCAAGCCAGCGUGCCCUAGUGCCUACCAGAGGUGCCACAACCUAAGGCUCUGCCUAUCCUUGUGGGAUCCGAGUUCUUCCAUUUCGAAUGCGUGACACCUAAACACAAGACAUAAAUCAAUGUGGGCUGCAGGGCCCUCAACACUGCAGGAGACCACACACACAUUCCUAAAACUAGCAGCAGACAGAAGACGCUCAACCGUUUGCUGACCCUAAGACCUAAAGGAUCUUCAGCUGUCGAAAGCUCACGGUUUGGUUGCAGGUGUCACACCUGUCUGCUGAAUAAGCUCAG
rnacentral:lncRNA from 1 species